rnacentral:misc_RNA from 1 species
GAACGAAAACGGCUCGUUUCUUCCUGGUCGCAGGGCAAAAGGCUCAAGGUUAAGGCAAGGUUGGAUAUUGGAAGUUUAAACUUGAGUCUUGAUAGAUCUGGAACUUAUAUGAAGUGAAUGCUGAUAUUUUGUUUGUUUCAAACUCAGCUUAUGGUACACAUGGUGUUUCUUAAGCGUUUGAUGGUGUGCCGCUUUUUAAUACUGUGGAAUACCACAACUUGUGG